UAUUGGACAAUGGGGGAAACCCUGAUCCAGCAAUGCCGCGUGUGUGAUGAAGGCCUUCGGGUUGUAAAGCACUUUUGUCAGGGACGAUGAUGACGGUACCUGACGAAUAAGCUCCGGCUAACUUCGUGCCAGCAGCCGCGGCAAUACGAGGGGAGCUAGCGUUGUUCGGAAUUACUGGGCGUAAAGGGCGUGUAGGCGGUACCAUAAGUCAGAUGUGAAAGCCCUAGGCUUAACCUAGGAGGUGCAUUUGAUACUGUGGAACUAGAGAUCGAGAGAGGUAAGUGGAAUUACGAGUGUAGAGGUGAAAUUCGUAGAUAUUCGUAAGAACACCAGUGGCGAAGGCGACUUACGGCUCGAUACUGACGCAAGGCGCGAAA
rnacentral:rRNA from 1 species